UUUUGCAUAGUUGGAUACACAAACAAUUUGUCCUUUUGAAUUUUUGAUUUAAUGGAUUAUUAACAAAAUAGACAAUUGUCAAAACUGUGAUAUAUAUUAUUCUUUAAAAGUGCAUGAAUUAGAUAGAACAAAUGCUAUAUACAAUUGAAGGAGAAAAAACAGAAAAUAGCAAAUAAAAAUGUGAAAAAAGAAAAGCUACUCUGACAUCAUGUGAAUUAUGAACAAUACUAACAUAGAAAGUCGAGCUCUAAAUCAAACAAAUUGAAAGAUUAGGUAGUAAAGUCAAUAAGAAUUGCAGUUGGUCAAUGAGAAUUGGAGACUAUGCGGUCUGAUAGUGGCAUUGCAGUUGGUCAAUAAGAAUCACAACAACACGACCUUCAUAUUUAUACUACAAUGUAGGCAAAUACAGAAGAAAUAUGAUGAAAAGAGUAAAAGUAACAUUCUAAAAUGCUUUGGAGCAUUUAACAGCAUAAAGCAUAUAAGUUCUUAAAAUGGAAUUAGAAACGGCCAAGCAUGGGAUGCCACUUAAUUUUCCAUGCUUUGUGGCCAUUCCUAGUGCUAAUAAUUGGCCCUAAGAUGUCUUGCUUCAACAUUUUGAUGUAUAGUUCAAAUUGAUUCUUAACCCAAACCCAAUCUAGCUUUAAAAGUAGGUGCGACUCGAAACCGACACUGAGUCUGAUAGAUUAAAUUUGGGAACAGUUAAACAAUCACUAUCAUAGCUUAGUCCUUAAUACAUGUUCAAAUUGAAGCUAUUAUGAUCUGGUAGGUUUAACUCACUCACUGGGUUCCUAGCUAUAAUAAGCUAAACAUUAGAUAAUUAACUAAAUUGAACUUAAAACUAUAAUGUAACACAUAACAGGUCACUUUUGGAUGGGCAUCUUUUCAGAUUAUUUUUUAAUUAGCUUUCGUGAUUUCAGGCUGAAAUUGAGUGAUCUUCUGUUCAUCUUUUAUUUUUUAUUUCUAUUCUUUUUUAUUUCAGUUCUAGCCGUUGGUUCAUUGAACCGUCUUUACCGGAAUAAUAUAUUCUACUAUUCAUUUCUAGAUCCAACAUAUAUGAUUCAUGCAAUUCCAAGCAUUGCAUCUGACAAUGUCUACUGCACCCUUCUAGCUCAUAGUGCCAUCAAUGGUGCAAUUGCAGGAUAUACUGGCUUCACUGUUGGACUAGUUAAUGGCAGGCAUACUUAUAUACCAUUUCAUAGGGAGAUCGGUAG